CAACACACUGAUAGUCGUCGGUAAAGGACACAGUACGUUGUCUUGGUAACGGUCACAUGGAGAGACAAUGGAGCUCCGGCCUGAACAUUGGAAUCUAGGGAUUUACUUCACCCCCCAUUUGGUCUUAAAUUACCCGUCCCACCGUCUUUCACACUCUCAUGAUGGACGCCAAAAACACGGUCAGGUAACUCUUCAGUUUACAUGUAAGCCAGAAAGGGGGGGGGGGGGGGGGGGGCGGGGGUUAUACAGAAAAGCAACAGAUAACAUGACAUCAGACUUUGACAUUAGUCAACUGUUACAAAUAUUCUGCAAGCUGAGAACAUACAGUCCUCCUACAAACCCCUUCACAACGUGUUACAUGCUCUAAAGGAAGGGCAGGUUCCAGUCUGCUACGGGUUACAGUGAGAGUCCAUGAGCCCCUUGAUAGACCAUCGACGUGAGAGGUGAGUCCAACGCCAUGACAGGUGAGUCCAUCCCCCAUGAGAGGUGAGUCCAACGCCAUGACAGGUGAGUCCAUCCCCAUGACAGGUGAGUCCAUCCCCCAUGACAGGUGAGUCCAUCCCCCAUGAGAGGUGCUGGAAUGCUGGGAGCGUUAACGGGGUCCAAAGAAAGAGUGCAGAAAAACAAAGGAUUAGGGAGAGGAGGAGGGCAGCCCUGAGCGCUUCCUGAGGACUCAACAGUGUCCCAUCAGAUCCUGAUUCUUCCUGCCGCUGGGCAAACCAGGGGCCACUAUGGCAACAAGUCCAAUGAGAUCCUCCACUGAGCUCUUCAUAUAUUCUUUAUGAUGUUGGCAGUGUCAUUAAAAAAAAAAAAGGAAUAGGAGGAAAACGUUUAAAAGCUAACUGUGAA